rnacentral:rRNA from 1 species
CCUACGGGAGGCUGCAGUGGGGGAUAUUGCACAAUGGGGGGAACCCUGAUGCAGCGACGCCGCGUGGGUGAAGAAGCGCCUCGGCGCGUACAGCCCUGUCAGCAGGGAAGAAAAUGACGGUACCUGAAGCAGAAGCCCCGGCUAACUACGUGCCAGCAGCCGCGGUAAUACGUAGGGGGCCAGCGUUAUCCGGAUUUACUGGGUGUAAAGGGGGCGCAGACGGCGAGGCAAGCCAGGAGUGAAAGCCCGGGGCCCAACCCCGGGACUGCUCUUGGAACUGCGUGGCUGGAGUGCAGGAGGGGCAGGCGGAAUUCCUGGUGUAGCGGUGAAAUGCGUAGAUAUCAGGAGGAACACCGGUGGCGAAGGCGGCCUGCUGGACUACAACUGACGUUGAGGCCCGAAAGCGUGGGGAGCAAACAGGAUUAGAUACCCUAGUAGUC